rnacentral:rRNA from 1 species
CAACAUGAGAGUUUGAUCCUGGCUCAGAACGAACGCUGGCGGCAGGCUUAACACAUGCAAGUCGAGCGCCCCGCAAG